rnacentral:tRNA from 1 species
GCGGACGUGGCGGAAUCUGGUAUACGCGCUAGCUUGAGGGGCUAGUGGUCGCAAGACCUUGGAGGUUCGAGUCCUCUCGUCCGCACCA